CUCUAUAGAGGGCUUUGUAGGACCACUGCACAAAAGUCCGGAGAGAA
rnacentral:pre_miRNA from 1 species